CACUGUCGACCAUUUCUUCCCUUCUGAACCUUCUAAAGGUGAAAGCAACAAAAAGAAAAGAGGACAAAGCAGAGUGAGGCAAGCGACCCAGGUCGGCAGAGUACCCUCGGCCGCCGCGCCGGAGCGGAGGAGCGGAGCAGGAGGAGCCGCGGCCGUCGCGUGGGAGCGAAGGAGCGGAGCAGGAGGAGCCGUGGCCGGAGCGAAGGAGCGGAGCAGGAGAAAAUCCUGAGCACGGAGGCUGCGAGGGGCCUGGCGCGGUCACCACUGGAUCUAUGGCGGGCGGUGCUUGGCUGAAGAUGGCGGAGGAGAAAGAAGCAGAGGCCACGGGGAGGAUGGAGAUCGGGAGUGCUCAGUUGCCGAUCCAGCGCUGGCCAUGGCGGGUGUCGCAGCGGGCAUACCAACUCGCUCGCUGGCAAAAGGAUGACCAAGCAUGAAGCGUGGGAAAGGAUGGCGGCGACUGGGCGUGGGCGGCGCUUCGGUGCUCUGCUCUUGCAACGAUCUGUCAAAGUGGAGCUCCACUCAAGGAGUGGAAUCGAAUCGUGGGCCUGGUCUAGCUGGAACAUGGCGGAUGGAUGUAGAGGCGAGGAGCUAGAGGUUCCAGAGCAGGUUACCAGUCUCUCGGUGGUCGGCUGAGAUUGACGUAGUGCCCGAACGCGCCGAGCAUGUAGUACUUCAGGUGGGUGAUGUGCCCACGCCUCAUCUCCAAGGGCUAGUCAGUAGCAGCAGCAACAGAAUCGGAGAGGAGGAUCGAGCCUUGGUGAGGGUACCUGGUAUUAUGGCCGUGUCUCUCAUUUGCCGCUGCCAGAUCUCCCUCGUAUUCCACAUCCACCUCAUCAAAGCCAUCGCAACGCAACUCUGCCGCUCAGCCGGUGGGAUGGCCUCGGCGGCGCCGGCCACCGGCCACAUAGGAGUCCAGCCCUGGGCCACCGGUAAAAUAGGAGCUCUUCCCAGGGACGUGCGACCCUGAUGGAUGCCUGAGCGCACGCAGCCAAAGAGGGGGAGAAGACCGCCGUUUCCUGGCGUAGUGGUGAGCGGCAGCCAUGGAAUUUUAUUUGGCCGGAGCGGAGGGGGAUUGGGUGGGGCGGAGGAGUCAAUUCCUCUUUUUUGGAAGUCGCUGGAAACUCGGUGGUGGGACAUCCUCACCGCUUUGACUGGAAACGGUGGCAACCGGAAAACGGGAGACUAAGGGAAGAAUAGAAAAAAAAUAACAUCUGAAAGAGGCAAGGUAACCGGAUGGACCAGAGAAAACUAUGGGAUGCUGCCGGUAAUCCAGGGAUUUGCACACAAAAAAAGAGAGAAUGAAACUAACUUUUCCUAGAUCUGCAGGUACCGGUUCACCCAUCUACAGGGGAAAAGACUAACGUGGUAAAAUUUGAUUGGAGAGGAAUGGACCAUGAAUAGUACCCAAACUGAUUAUGUUAAAGCAAAUGGGGUUAGCUUUUAUA